UACGAAGGGGGCUAGCGUUGUUCGGAUUUACUGGGCGUAAAGCGCACGUAGGCGGAUCAUUAAGUCAGGGGUGAAAUCCCAGAGCUCAACCCUGGAACUGCCUUUGAUACUGGGUGUCUUGAGUAUGGAAGAGGUGAGUGGAAUUCCGAGUGUAGAGGUGAAAUUCGUAGAUAUUCGGAGGAACACCAGUGGCGAAGGCGGCUCACUGGUCCAUUACUGACGCUGAGGUGCGAAAGCGUGGGGAGCAAACAGG
rnacentral:rRNA from 1 species